AUUUAGUUUCGAGUGUGUCUCGUCUUUUGCAGGCACCUGCUGACGCACCGGAGGCCAGGCUUUGUCGCUGUGGUGGCCCAUUCCAGUGGAGCGUUUGUAGCCAAUGAAUUCUUCAGUCAGCUGGCUGCCAAUGACAUAAACAGACAGUUUGAUCAGAAAAUAUUUUACUACAAUUUGGAUGGUGCUGGAGGACCUUAUGGUAAUGCCCUAUCUAUGUUGAGAAAGGAAUAUUUUGUGUAUGCAAGGAUGGGAUCUGUGUUCUCCAUGAAUGCCAAUUCGAUGAAGUCCCAUGGCCGAGGCGAUCAGCUUAUAGAGCUGGACGGGAGUGAAUCCCACUGUCAGAACAGCCGGUGCCUCCACGACGUGAUGAUCAUCCACCACCCCUGGAGCCCCACCUACUUCGACGUGGGCCGCGACUACAGCCUGUUUGCUUUGGGAGACAGAGAAGUCCAGUCGCCAUACAUUUCCCAUACAGUGUCCCUCCUGUCUGCGAU